UGAACUUAAGCAUAUCAAUAAGCGGAGGAAAAGAAACCAACAGGGAUUGCCUCAGUAACGGCGAGUGAAGCGGCAACAGCUCAAAUUUGAAAGCUGCCAACAGGCCGCAUUGUAAUUUGUAGAGGAUGCUUUGGGGGUUGGCCCGGUCUAAGUUCCUUGGAACAGGACGUCAUAGAGGGUGAGAAUCCCGUAUGUGACCGGUGCUAGCACCCGUGUAAAGCUCCUUCGACGAGUCGAGUUGUUUGGGAAUGCAGCUCAAAAUGGGUGGUAUAUUUCAUCUAAAGCUAAAUAUUGGCCAGAGACCGAUAGCGCACAAGUAGAGUGAUCGAAAGAUGAAAAGCACUUUGGAAAGAGAGUUAAACAGUACGUGAAAUUGUUGAAAGGGAAGCGCUUGCAAUCAGACUUGCGGGCGGUUGAUCAUCCGAGGUUCUCCCCGGUGCACUCGAUCGUCCUCAGGCCAGCAUCGGUUUCGGUGGUGGGAUAAAGGCCUUGGGAAUGUGGCUCCUUCGGGAGUGUUAUAGCCCUCGGUGCAAUGCCGCCUACCGGGACCGAGGACCGCGCUUCGGCUAGGAUGCUGGCGUAAUGGUUGUAAGCGACCCGUCUUGAAACACGGACCAAGGAGUCUAACAUCUAUGCCAGUGUGUGGGUGUCAAACCCAUACGCGGAAUGAAAGUGAACGGAGGUAAGAACCCUUUAGGGCGCAUUAUCGACCGAUCCUGAUGUCUUCGGAUGGAUUUGAGUAAGAGCAUAGCUGUUGGGACCCGAAAGAUGGUGAACUAUGCGUGAAUAGGGUGAAGCCAGAGGAAACUCUGGUGGAGGCUCGCAGCGGUUCUGACGUGCAAAUCGAUCGUCAAAUUUGCGUAUAGGGGCGAAAGACUAAUCGAACCAUCCAUGAGGCAUAUGUAAGAUAAAGAAAAUACCGUGGUUAAGAAGCACUGUCUACAACAGUGUCUGCUAGAUAAAGGUUUAGACUUAGUUCCUUGAGGUUUAGACUUAUGGAUAAAAAGAGAAAGUCCCAACAGGCCCUGGGGGGUGAGGGCAUACAUCAAUCUUCAAUUUCGGGCUUUCUUAAGAAGGCUAAAGCGGGUGGGGACUUCUUGAACUCUGCGGUCAAAGGAUCGGCAUCAAGUAGUAUGAACGAGGAGGCCUCAAAGGAUGAGGUGGAAGAGUCGCUGGCGGAUGAUGCUGUAAUUCUGGCAAUGGGGGUGGGAUCCCCGUCGGAAGAGCAGCAGACUGCGUCCUGGUUACGUUCUCUCACCGCGGAAGAGUCUAAACACCUCUUUCAAGUGUGUAUUACAGGGAAGUUUGUU
rnacentral:rRNA from 1 species